UUAGCUUAGUUGGUAGUGCGUCUGCCUUGUAAGCGCUAGGCCGCGGGUUCGAUUCCCGUA
rnacentral:tRNA from 1 species